AUUGGUCAAAGGCAAUGUGAAAGUUAGACACAUGGUAGCACAUGUGAGGGAGGCCUACACGAUUAGUCAAUAGAUGAGUUAGUCAACUCAUCAAGUGGAUAAGGAGAAACCACAUAAGGGACAUGUGUCAUAGAGAGACAAUGGAAGGAGAAACAAGAAAAUGGAGGGAGUCCACCCAUGAGGACUCAGACCUCACUUAUCCUUCUCCUUCUCUUUGUUAUGGCCUACCACCAAACAACCAAACACAGUUUGCUUCGCCAGAUAAUGAAUCCACGCAGCGUUUCCCAUAGUGGACUUGAUGAACAUCGAUGAAUAAUCAUCGUGUUCUUCAAGUCCAAACCUAGAAACCUCCAGAGAUUUCUCAAACACCAAAACUUUUCAAUCAGAUCCUAUAUGAAAUACUAUCGCAAACAUGAAUCUAAUUUUAAUUCAACCAAAAACAACACAGAUUCUCAUAUCAAACCCGCCCUAAACAAAACCCUAAAUGAUAAAUCAUUCCCCAAAUUUCACAAUCCAAGCUAAUAGACAAUGAUUCAAGUUAUGGAGUUAACAACAUAACAAAAUAUCAAGCGUGAAAAUGGCGUAAAAUAAUACAGAAGGCCUCGUCGAAGCUUUGAAACUCCGGCGAGGUUUCAGCGACGGCGAAGGUACCUCAAAUGCAGGGUAAUGGUAAGAUGAUGCUUUGGGAUGAUGUUAUAGUCAUGGUGAAAUGGUGCAAAGGUAAAGGGAAUAAGAUGGAAGCAAAUUAAAGAUGGUGAUGAGAUCGGGAUGAUGGUGAUAAAGAGGAGGUCAUGAGGGCCACCAACAUUUUGGAAAUUCAUUCUUUUUGUUUUAUUUUUUGUCUUAUUAUUUUAAAAAUGUGACGUGUGCAUAAUGUUAACAAAAUACUCUUUUAAAUAUUUUUGUAUUAAUAUUUGACAAUGUAAAGUAAAAAAUACUCAUUCAUUUUAUGGAAUACACAUCCUCUUCAUCAUA